UCUUCUCCAUAUUGUUCUGUCGAUUUUUGUUCUCCUCCAUAGCUGGGGUUUUUUCAACUUUCAAACUUCAUAAUCAAGAGAAACGAGAUUCAAGUCGUGAUCGAGGGAAAAACAAAGUUUACGAGGAAUAGGCUCGAUUGUUAAAAAUUUUGUACCGAGGUAAGUUCAUGUGUAAGUAAGGUAGCAUAAUUGUUAUUUUUAAGUUAUUGAUGUUAAAUAUAUGAUAUGCUGAUUUUUAUCAUGAAAUAUAUGCUUUGUGGUUAUUUUCGAAUAAAAUGCAAAUUAAGUGUAUUAUUUGUUAAAUAUUAAGUGCUACCGAGUAUUGGUUUUGGUAUUUUACGGAAGAUGGCAAGGAGAUGUGUUCGAGGAAAAUCCCGUUUGAACCUUAGGAAUAGAUUAAGAUACAAGUGACAUGUCACUAGGAUGGUUGAACAUCCGAACUCGUUGAGUUGAGUCCGAGUUCGUGAGAUGUAACUAGGCAUCCGAACUCGUUGAGUUGAGUCCGAGUUCACUUAUGGAUGCGAACGCCCGAGCUCGUUGAGUUGAGUCCGAGUUCACUUAUGGGCGGGUUACAUGGUAGCUUGGCUACAAAUGUGGCACUUAUGUGCAAAUUAUCCAUGUAUCCGAGUUAUAUUCCGAUGUGUUCAACGGGUAAAAUUUCUAGUGAAAUGGAAGAACACUUAAGAUGCAGGUGACGUAUUGGUAAGUAUUGUGAAAUGGACACUUUGGACAGGUAUGUACUUAACCUUCGGGUUGAAAAUAGAUACAACAACGAUAAGGCGGUAAGAUGAUUAAUGAUGUUUAGAAAUGUGAUAUAUGUUUUGGUGAUACCAUGCUAAGGUUGUUCGGUAUAAUUAUAUUGUUAUGUUACUUGUUAUUUGCAUAUGACUUACUAAGCAUUUAUGCUUAUUCCCUCCUUUUCAUUCACUGUAGUUUUGAACAAACCGGCUUAGGAAUCGGGACAGGUCGAAGGUUCGAUCACACUAUCCGAAGGACUCUUUUUGGUAAAUGGCUUGUAAAACUUAAGUAUGGCAUGUAUAGCAAUUCACCUAUUUUGUGUAAAUAAUUUUGUGAUAUGGCCAUGAUUUGGUUGAGAAAAUGCUUAAUAAUGAUAAGUCAUGGAAAAUGCUAAGUUAGAUCAUGUUUGAUGUCAUGGAAGUUUAAUAUGUUAUCUAGAUCAUAAAAACUCAUGAAAAGAUGAAAUUUGCCAUAAACAGAAUAUUGCAGCAACACUGACAUGAGUUUGAAAAUUUACUAAAAAUCAUAGAAAUUGAAUUUGGUGAUGGAUUAAAUAUGACAUUGAAGCCUAGUAUGUUUAGUUUCAUAUAAAACAAAUGAAACAAGUAAAGGAAUUAUAUGUUAUAAGAUAUUUGAAUUUUAGUGAAACAGGGCUAGAGCGAUUUUUAGAUCCCCUGUUCCAACUUUAGAAAUUUACCAUAAAUUGUACAAAAAUAACUAGGUGGUGCAUUUUAUAUUCUUGGAAUCCUUAUUGAGUCUAGUUUUGGAAUAAAUAAACGGCAUAGUCAUAUAAACUUUUCACAAAUAGAAAUAUGGUUCAUAGUAAACAGAGGUCAGUCCAGUCAAGUCCUGAAACAGGGGUAACUUUAACUAAUAAACUGUAUUAAUUGGCCCAACCAAAAAUUCUAGAAAAAAAUUAGUAAAUAGAUAUAUGAGUCUAGAUUUAAGGAAAAUUUAAGGAUAUUGAUUUCGAGUUUUGUAACUCGAGAUAUGAUUUUUCUUGUAACUGUGAUGCAUGUAGCUAGAAAGCUGUGAAUGUAGAAAUAAAUGAUUCGAAGUUCUUAAUUCGAUAAAUUAUGUUCGGUAACACCUCAAGCUCGACUCCGGCGACGGUCUCGGGCGUGGGGGCGUUACAUUUAUAGCCUUUUUACACUAUUUUUUUAUUACUUGUUGUCUUUUCUUCUUGCAGGUGGAACAAGUGGAGGAGCAGGUGGCUGACAAGCGGUGGAGCAGGUGUGGUCAGAAGGUAGUUGGCCGAAAGUCGGACAUAGGGGCGGCGGCUAACUAGGGUUUUUAGUUUUCUUUUUUUUCUAAUUGUUGUGGGCUAGGGUUAAAUGCUUUAAUCCAAGGCAGAGCAAAAUCUGAUUUGGAUUAGUGGAAUUUAACGAUUGAUAUGAAUCUUCUCACCACUAAAUCUUAAUUAUGGUCAAAUUAAGACAAUUAGCAAUGAUUAAAUCACCACCUAAAUCUCAAUCAAUUUCCUUAAUGACUACCUCUCUAUCUUUAAUAUCUUUACAAUUUAGUCUAUAGCUUUUCUAGCUAUUCAUAUAUUAACCCAAGUUUUAGAAAGGUUAAAAUAUGUCGUAAGUUUCUGUAUCUUUUGAAAUUUUGAAAUUUAGUUUAUGUAUUUUUAUUUUUAAGAAGUUAUUCUCUUUACUUUUAAGAAUUUAAAACUCGAGUUCAG
rnacentral:lncRNA from 1 species